GAUGAAGAACGCAGCGAAAUGCGAUAAGUAGUGUGAAUUGCAGAAUUCAGUGAAUCAUCGAAUCUUUGAACGCACAUUGCGCCCUUUGGUAUUCCUUAGGGCAUGCCUGUUCGAGCGUCAUUUGAAACCUCAAGCUCAGCUUGGUGUUGGGUGUCUGUCCCCGCCUCCGCGGGGACUCGCCUCAAAAUCAUUGGCGGCCGGUACGUUGGCUUCGAGCGCAGCAGAAACGCGAACUCGAGGCCCGGCGGAUCGGCGACCAGAAGUCUCUUCUUCACAGUUUGACCUCGGAUCAGGUAGGGAUACCCGCUGAACUUAAGCAUAUCAAUAACGGAGGA
rnacentral:misc_RNA from 1 species